AAGCUCAAAAAGAUCUGCAUUAAAAGCAAGUCUUCCUACCUCACAGGGCUGCCAGCAGUCCAGAGCUGAAAUCCGAAGACAGGAUGAGACUCUGCCAGGCAGGC